CAGUCGCCACGGUAAUACGAAGGGUGCAAGCGUUAAUCGGAAUUACUGGGCGUAAAGCGUGCGUAGGCGGUGAGUUAAGUCUGCUGUGAAAUCCCCGGGCUCAACCUGGGAAUGGCAGUGGAUACUGGCUCGCUAGAGUGUGUCAGAGGAUGGUGGAAUUCCCGGUGUAGCGGUGAAAUGCGUAGAGAUCGGGAGGAACAUCAGUGGCGAAGGCGGCCAUCUGGGACAACACUGACGCUGAGGCACGGAAGCGUGGGGAGCAAACAGGAUUAGAUACCCCCGUAGUCCCUGUCUCUUAUAA
rnacentral:rRNA from 1 species